GCCCGUCUGGCGCAAUGGUUAGCGCACCAGCCUUCUAUUUACUUUUGUACAGAAGCUGGGGGUUGCGGGUUCGAGUCCCGCGAUGGGUU